rnacentral:rRNA from 1 species
UACGUAGGUGGCAAGCGUUGUCCGGAAUUAUUGGGCGUAAAGCGCGCGAAGGCGGUCCUUUAAGUCUGAUGGGAAAGCCCACGGCUCAACCGUGGAGGGUCAUUGGAAACUGGGGGACUUGAGUACAGAAGAGGAAAGCGGAAUUCCACGUGUAGCGGUGAAAUGCGUAGAGAUGUGGAGGAACACCAGUGGCGAAGGCGGCUUUCUGGUCUGUAACUGACGCUGAGGCGCGAAAGCGUGGGGAGCAAGCAGG